AUAGCUGAAAAAGAGUACAUCACUCUACCAGAUCACCCUUCACUUCCUUGUCAACCUGUUCUUUCUUCAGGAAUAACUGAUAUAUCUUUAUUACAAACUGAAACCUACAAUGGUUGGAAGAAAAAAUACUUGGAAACAAAGAAAGUCACAGCAUCAAUGGAGGAGGUUUUAACAAAACUUCGAGAAGAUUUGGAACUCUACUAUAAAAAACUGCUCAUGCAACUUGAAGCCAGGGAGAUCAAGAUGAGACCAAAGAAUCUGGCAAACAUCACAGACUCCAAGAUGAGAAAACAAGCAGUUUCAGAUUUACGAACAUUGAAAACUGAACUGGCACAGAAAAAAAAAAUAAUACAUCUCUACAAUCUCAAUUAGUUGCUGGAAGUGUGCCUAGCUAGGAGGUCUACAGAAGAUUUUAUUUAUGAUGAAUCAGCCAAAUCAAAAGGGAGCAUUGGCUGCUGCAAUACAUUCUGACCAGAUCUGACUUUGUUCAUCAUAAGACAUCACAAAGAGGAAGUCACAAGCAUCUGCGAUUCCAGUAUAAUUAUAGCAUCUUCUGUCUAUGUUGUUUGGAGACCAAGCUACAUCAAAGGUUACCUGUGGAAAAAAAUCUUACUAUUUUAUGUAACAUGGUCAAGUGUGCAUAUUAUGUCAGAUUUUUUAAAUUAUAUAUAUUUUUUACCUUAUACUACACAAGGAAAAGGAACUGCUUACAGUAUAUGAAUGUAGGGUUUGACACACAUAGAACUUGAACCAUUCUAAGAAAUAUUUUUUGCUUA
rnacentral:sRNA from 1 species